CUGGAGUCUAGGGGCUGCCCAUCAUUGUCUGGUGCGGGGCCUUGGAAUGAUUAGGGCAGAGGAAUAGUGGCCCAGAGUGAAUUGAGGAGCCCUGGGAGGCGUGGUCUCUCCAGGGUCCGCAAGGCCUCCAGAUGUCAACGCAUCCGAAACACAUGAUUGAUGUGGGAAUUCAUGCAACGUCGCUGGGAAUUUGAAACCUGGUGCUCAUCUGGAGAUCAUGGUUGGGAAGAGGAGGCAGGAGCGUCGUCUGAGCUGGCUCAUGAGGGGAGUUUCAGCGUGUCGUGUGGCCCCUUGUUACAGGGCCUUUUGCCAAGGCUGCUCUUGGAGCCUGCCAAUAGCAUCAUGAAGACUCUGCACUCCUCGCAGUGACGAUGCUACAAACCCAGAAGGAGCAACUGCCUCAUCUCUGUU